CGUGCCUAAUACAUGCAAGUAGAACGCUGAAGACUUUAGCUUGCUAGAGUUGGAAGAGUUGCGAACGGGUGAGUAACGCGUAGGUAACCUGCCUAUUAGUGGGGGAUAACUAUUGGAAACGAUAGCUAAUACCGCAUAAUAGUGUUUAACACAUGUUAGAGACUUAAAAGAUGCAAUUGCAUCACUAGUAGAUGGACCUGCGUUGUAUUAGCUAGUUGGUGGGGUAACGGCCUACCAAGGCGACGAUACAUAGCCGACCUGAGA
rnacentral:rRNA from 1 species